rnacentral:rRNA from 1 species
UACAGAGGGUGCUAGCGUUGUUCGGAAUCAUUGGGCGUAAAGGGCGUGUAGGCGGUUUGUUAAGUCAUGUGUGAAAUCCCUCGGCUCAACCGAGGAAGUGCAUCCGAAACUGCGAGGCUCGAGUAUGGAAGAGGGUCGCAGAAUUCCCGGUGUAGAGGUGAAAUUCGUAGAUAUCGGGAGGAAUACCAGUGGCGAAGGCGGCGACCUGGGCCAAUACUGACGCUGAGGUGCGAAAGCGUGGGGAGCAAACAGG